UACGGAGGGUGCAAGCGUUAAUCGGAAUUACUGGGCGUAAAGCGCACGUAGGCGGUUUGACAAGUGGGAUGUGAAAGCCCUGGGCUCAACCUGGGAACUGCAUCCCAAACUGUCAGGCUAGAGUAUGGUAGAGGGGGGCGGAAUUCCCGGUGUAGCGGUGAAAUGCGUAGAGAUCGGGAGGAACAUCAGUGGCGAAGGCGGCCCCCUGGACUGAUACUGACGCUGAGGUGCGAAAGCGUGGGGAUCAAACAGGAUUAGAUACCCUGGUAGUCCACGCUGUAAACGAUGAGAACUGGCCGUCGGGCCCUUCGGGGUUUGGUGGCGUAGCUAACGCGCUAAGUUCUCCGCCUGGGGAGUACGGCCGCAAGGCUAAA
rnacentral:rRNA from 1 species